rnacentral:rRNA from 1 species
UACGUAGGGACCAAGCGUUGUUCGGAUUUACUGGGCGUAAAGGGCGCGUAGGCGGCUUGACAAGUCACUUGUGAAAUCUCCGGGCUUAACUCGGAACGGCCAAGUGAAACUGUCAUGCUAGAGUGCAGAAGGGGCAAUCGGAAUUCUUGGUGUAGCGGUGAAAUGCGUAGACAUCAAGAGGAACACCUGAGGUGAAGACGGGUUGCUGGGCUGACACUGACGCUGAGGCGCGAAAGCCAGGGGAGCAAACGGG